rnacentral:rRNA from 1 species
GGAAAUGUCUGUCCAAGCAGAAAGCCUGAAGACGAGGCAAAUGCUUCUUUUCUUAAGGACAAGCUGGGAUGGGGAGGGAAAUAAUAGUACCGAAGAUCCUGAUGUCACACUGCCGAGAAAAGCUUCUAGUGAGAAAACAGCGGCCCGUACCGCAAACCGACACCGGUAGUCGAGGAGAGAAUCCUAAGGUGAGCGAGAGAACUCUCGUUAAGGAACUCGGCAAAAUGA